UACAGAGGUCUCAAGCGUUGUUCGGAUUCAUUGGGCGUAAAGGGUGCGUAGGCGGCGCGGUAAGUCGGGUGUGAAAUCUCGGGGCUUAACUCCGAAACUGCAUUCGAUACUGCCGUGCUUGAGGACUGGAGAGGAGACUGGAAUUUACGGUGUAUCGGUGAAAUGCGCAGAUAUCAGGAGGAACACCGAUGGCGAAGGCAGGUCUCUGGGCCAAUACUGACGCUGAGAAGCGAAAGCAUGGGGAGCGAACAGG
rnacentral:rRNA from 1 species